rnacentral:tRNA from 1 species
GGAAGAUGCCGCUAAAUGGUUGGCAACCGGUCUUGAAAACCGGGGUGGGGUAACACCUAGGGGUUCGAUUCCUCCAUCUUCCACCU